UAAUACAGAGGGGGCAAGCGUUGUUCGGAAUUACUGGGCGUAAAGGGCGCGUAGGCGGCCUGUUAAGUCGAACGUGAAAUCCCUGGGCUCAACCCAGGAACUGCGUCCGAUACUGACAGGCUUGAAUUCGGGAGAGGGAUGCGGAAUUCCAGGUGUAGCGGUGAAAUGCGUAGAUAUCUGGAGGAACACCGGUGGCGAAGGCGGCAUCCUGGACCGAUAUUGA
rnacentral:rRNA from 1 species